rnacentral:rRNA from 1 species
CCUACGGGAGGCAGCAGUAAGGAAUAUUGGUCAAUGGACGAAAGUCUGAACCAGCCAUGCCGCGUGAAGGAUUAAGGCCCUCUGGGUUGUAAACUUCUUUUAUCUGGGACGAAAAAAGGGUAUUCUUACUCACUUGACGGUACCAGAGGAAUAAGCACCGGCUAACUCCGUGCCAGCAGCCGCGGUAAUACGGAGGGUGCAAGCGUUAUCCGGAUUUACUGGGUUUAAAGGGUGCGUAGGUGGGCUUGUAAGUCAGUGGUGAAAUCUCCGGGCUUAACCCGGAAACUGCCAUUGAUACUAUAGGUCUUGAAUUAUCUGGAGGUAAGCGGAAUAUGUCAUGUAGCGGUGAAAUGCUUAGAUAUGACAUAGAACACCAAUUGCGAAGGCAGCUUACUACGGAUAUAUUGACACUGAGGCACGAAAGCGUGGGGAUCAAACAGGAUUAGAUACCCUGGUAGUCCACGCCCUAAACGAUGGAUACUCGACAUCAGCGAUACACUGUUGGUGUCUGAGNGAGANAUAUAUCCACCNGAGUAGANCGCAGAUAGUAACGUAAAGUAAGUAGAGCGUGAGACGNGCGACGACGACGACGAGGGAGGAGG